CUCAACAUGAAUCGAGAGGUAUAAAACUCUCUCCCAGUUUUUAUUUGGCACCGAUUCACCACGGAAAACCAGAGAUAUGAUCCUUUUAAUUACAUAAUAGGGGCAUCAUAUCUCAUUUUGACACGGUGCGAGAAGCAUCUGGGGUCAAACUUGGACUAAAGAAGAACAAGACAAUAAAAAAUAUUUCAGGCAAGUUUCCAAGUUACUUCCACUUUACUCCCACAUUUCUGCUCGCGACUUCCGUUUUACACUUUCUCCAUCCAUGACAACAGUGGAGCUGGGGUAACAUUACUCAUCAAAAUCCCUCAACAAAAAAAAAACAAUUUGGAAAUACCGCAUCAAACUGCCAUCAUCACGACAUGGGAGGACAACAUGUUCAUGAAGGCAGAUGUGGAACCAAGCCCGUGCCACCACAUAGACCGGGUGUUUAUGUAGCCAUGUUGCUGCUGGCGUUAUGCAAGGUGGAAAACACUGUGAGGCAAGAGAAGACAAAUUGAUGUGCCUCACAACAACACUUUCUGUAUGUCGAUG